AAUAAGGCAUAUUUUGGGACAAAAUAAAAGUAAUAAAUAGAUGGAAACAGGAAAAGCACCAGAAAAAACAGCCUAAAAAGAGAAUGUGACACUUUUCAUACACAGGUCCAUUAAUAUCUACUUCAUGGACCUUCACUAUUCAUUGGGUGAGAUUAUUCAAAGCUAUAUUUUCUGAACACGGCCUGGUAUCUCGGUAACAGUGUGG